rnacentral:rRNA from 1 species
GUCAACAUCCUUAACGAAUGUAAUCACGUUCUAACCUGUUGAACGUUAUCUUAGAUGACCGUAAGCACGCUUUCGGCACCUGAGCAACUUUCAGAGGCCAGACGGAUAGCCCAAAGGGUAUUCGUUGCAAUCCUCAGUCUCAAUCACCACAUCUACCAGAGGCUAUAACACUUCAACCGAAAUCGAAGCUACAUUCCGCCGGUCAUUUUAUGAUAAUCGAAACUGACGUUGGCCUACCAUACGAAAAAGUACACCCAAAGCGCACAAACAUGCAAACAGCGAGGCCGAAACUCACGCACGCCCACAAGUUCGCACACGAUAGGUUGAUUUCUCGUCGGUACGACUGACUUCAAUCGUUUCCCUUUCAA